rnacentral:rRNA from 1 species
UACGGAGGGUGCGAACGUUAAUCGGAAUCACUGGGCGUAAAGCGCGCGUAGGCGAUCUGUUAAGUGGGAUGUGAAAUCCCCGGGCUUAACCUGGGAAUUGCAUUUCAAACUGGCCGACUAGAGUACGGUAGAGGGAGGUAGAAUUUCCUGUGUAGCGGUGAAAUGCGUAGAUAUAGGAAGGAAUACCAGUGGCGAAGGCGGCCUCCUGGAUCGAUACUGACGCUGAGGCGCGAAAGCGUGGGGAGCAAACAGG